ACAAGGUAGUCAUUGGCCUUGUCCCCCUGGGCCUCGCCUAGUGCCAGAGCAAACUGACUUUGAACCAUUGCUCAGCCUCUGCCUGUGGGCUGCCAGUACUAUACCUUGGGGGAAAAAAAG
rnacentral:snoRNA from 1 species